AACAUGCAAUUCUUAUGGGCUGAUGCUAAUUCGAAAGCCUAUAUAAAGAAAUAUGUUCGUUUUAACUUUUGCAGCAAAAUAGAAAACACCUUUAUUGUGCACAGUGUGCCUCAGUUGCUUCAAAUUAUUUUUAUUCAAAGAUGAUUGAAGAAAAGCCCAUAAUUCGGAUUGUAACAAUAACCUGCGCAUUGUUGAUUUUUUUCAAUAACGUGAAUUUUUCAACAGCAGAGACCAAAUACGAUCAUUGUGACUAUGGAAAAUGCUCUGACCUAUGUGCACAGCAGUAUCCAGGGUCUCUUGGGUUAUUGCAACAAGGCUCAGCAGUUUGCGAUUCCAAUAACUUCUGUCAAUGUUACAGAAUUAACGAUGAUGGAAGUACAUAUAACUUGAAUCAUAAUGACUAACGAAAUCACCAAAAAGUAAGAAGUUUAUUUAGCGCAGGUAGUACCUUACCUAUAGGUACUUAAAUGUAUCCAGCUGCAUGAACUUAACUUAUUAGUUAUUAUACGUACAUAGGUACAAUAAUUACUUAGUUAAUUCAUGUACAUGUAGGAUAAUCAUUACCUAUCUAUGUAUUUAAUAGACCAAAAUUAAAUUGCACUUUGAAAGUAA